GCAAGUAGUAAUAUUUCAAGGUAGGUAAUCCAAUACAAAGCUAAUAUUUGAAGGAACUGUGUUUGCAGUUAAAGACAACUACAAAUAAAUGUUCAUGUUCAUGGAUGGGUUCGGGUAGAUGGUAGUUGAGGUUACAACCACAACUGGAAAGAAACUACUACAAAUAUCAAUUCAAGUAAAAUUACACAGCAUGAUCACAUCAGUCACGGUAUGGAUCGUCUUCCUCCUCAUCCUCAUACUCUUCCUCAUCUGCCACUGCAUCUUGAUACUGCUGAUAUUCAGAGAC
rnacentral:misc_RNA from 1 species